GAUGAACGCUGGCGGCGUGCCUAAUACAUGCAAGUCGAGCGAACGGACGAGAAGCUUGCUUCUCUGAUGUUAGCGGCGGACGGGUGAGUAACACGUGGAUAACCUACCUAUAAGACUGGGAUAACUUCGGGAAACCGGAGCUAAUACCGGAUAAUAUUUUGAACCGCAUGGUUCAAAAGUGAAAGACGGUCUUGCUGUCACUUAUAGAUGGAUCCGCGCUGCAUUAGCUAGUUGGUAAGGUAACGGCUUACCAAGGCAACGAUGCAUAGCCGACCUGAGAGGGUGAUCGGCCACACUGGAACUGAGACACGGUCCAGACUCCUACGGGAGGCAGCAGUAGGGAAUCUUCCGCAAUGGGCGAAAGCCUGACGGAGCAACGCCGCGUGAGUGAUGAAGGUCUUCGGAUCGUAAAACUCUGUUAUUAGGGAAGAACAUAUGUGUAAGUAACUGUGCACAUCUUGACGGUACCUAAUCAGAAAGCCACGGCUAACUACGUGCCAGCAGCCGCGGUAAUACGUAGGUGGCAAGCGUUAUCCGGAAUUAUUGGGCGUAAAGCGCGCGUAGGCGGUUUUCUAAGUCUGAUGUGAAAGCCCACGGCUCAACCGUGGAGGGUCAUUGGAAACUGGAAAACUUGAGUGCAGAAGAGGAAAGUGGAAUUCCAUGUGUAGCGGUGAAAUGCGCAGAGAUAUGGAGGAACACCAGUGGCGAAGGCGACUUUCUGGUCUGUAACUGACGCUGAUGUGCGAAAGCGUGGGGAUCAAACAGGAUUAGAUACCCUGGUAGUCCACGCCGUAAACGAUGAGUGCUAAGUGUUAGGGGGUUUCCGCCCCUUAGUGCUGCAGCUAACGCAUUAAGCACUCCGCCUGGGGAGUACGACCGCAAGGUUGAAACUCAAAGGAAUUGACGGGGACCCGCACAAGCGGUGGAGCAUGUGGUUUAAUUCGAAGCAACGCGAAGAACCUUACCAAAUCUUGACAUCCUUUGACAACUCUAGAGAUAGAGCUUUCCCCUUCGGGGGACAAAGUGACAGGUGGUGCAUGGUUGUCGUCAGCUCGUGUCGUGAGAUGUUGGGUUAAGUCCCGCAACGAGCGCAACCCUUAAGCUUAGUUGCCAUCAUUAAGUUGGGCACUCUAAGUUGACUGCCGGUGACAAACCGGAGGAAGGUGGGGAUGACGUCAAAUCAUCAUGCCCCUUAUGAUUUGGGCUACACACGUGCUACAAUGGACAAUACAAAGGGCAGCGAAACCGCGAGGUCAAGCAAAUCCCAUAAAGUUGUUCUCAGUUCGGAUUGUAGUCUGCAACUCGACUACAUGAAGCUGGAAUCGCUAGUAAUCGUAGAUCAGCAUGCUACGGUGAAUACGUUCCCGGGUCU
rnacentral:rRNA from 1 species